rnacentral:tRNA from 2 species
AAAGAAUUAGUUAAAUUAUAACAUAAAUAUGUCAAAUUUAAAUUAUUUAAAAUUAAAUUAAAUAUUCUUUU